CGUAGGGUGCGAGCGUUAAUCGGAAUUACUGGGCGUAAAGCGUGCGCAGGCGGUUAUAUAAGACAGAUGUGAAAUCCCCGGGCUCAACCUGGGAACUGCAUUUGUGACUGUAUAGCUAGAGUACGGCAGAGGGGGAUGGAAUUCCGCGUGUAGCAGUGAAAUGCGUAGAUAUGCGGAGGAACACCGAUGGCGAAGGCAAUCCCCUGGGCCCGUACUGACGCUCAUGCACGAAAGCGUGGGGAGCAAACAGGAUUAGAUACCCCUGGUAGUCCACGCCCUAAACGAUGUCAACUGGUUGUUGGGUCUUCACUGACUCAGUAACGAAGCUAACGCGUGAAGUUGACCGCCUGGGGAGUACGGCCGCAAGGUUG
rnacentral:rRNA from 1 species